UUGACCCUACGGGGCGCAGCAGUGAGGAAUAUUGGUCAAUGGACGCAAGUCUGAACCAGCCAUGCCGCGUGCAGGAAGACGGCUCUAUGAGUUGUAAACUGCUUUUGUACGAGGGUAAACGCAGAUACGUGUAUCUGUCUGGAAGUAUCGUACGAAUAAGGAGCGGCUAACUCCGUGCCAGCAGCCGCGGUAAUACGGAGGAUUCAAGCGUUAUCCGGAUUUAUUGGGUUUAAAGGGUGCGUAGGCGGUCGGAUAAGUUAGAGG
rnacentral:rRNA from 1 species